rnacentral:rRNA from 1 species
UACGGAGGGUGCGAGCGUUGUCCGGAAUCAUUGGGCGUAAAGGGCGCGUAGGUGGCCUGCUAAGCGUGCGGUGAAGCACGGGGCUCAACCCCGAGUCGGCCGUGCGAACUGGUGGGCUUGAGCACUGUAGAGGCAGGCGGAAUCCGGGUGUAGCGGUGGAAUGCGUAGAGAUCCGGAAGAACACCGGUGGCGAAGGCGGCCUGCUGGGCAGUAGCUGACACUGAGGCGCGACAGCGUGGGGAGCAAACAGG